rnacentral:tRNA from 1 species
GGUUCCAUAGAGUGUAGCGGUUAGCACAUCUGCUUUACACACAGAAGGUCCUGGGUUCGCAUCCCAGGUGGAUCCA